UACGAAGGGGGCUAGCGUUGCUCGGAAUCACUGGGCGUAAAGCGCACGUAGGCGGCUUUCUAAGUCAGGGGUGAAAUCCUGGAGCUCAACUCCAGAACUGCCUUUGAUACUGGAAAGCUUGAGUCCGGAAGAGGUGAGUGGAACUCCGAGUGUAGAGGUGAAAUUCGUAGAUAUUCGGAAGAACACCAGUGGCGAAGGCGGCUCACUGGUCCGGUACUGACGCUGAGGUGCGAAAGCGUGGGGAGCAAACAGG
rnacentral:rRNA from 1 species